rnacentral:rRNA from 1 species
AAUAUUGCACAAUGGGCGCAAGCCUGAUGCAGCGACGCCGCGUGAGUGAUGACGGCCUUCGGGUUGUAAACCUCUUUCAGUAGGGACGAAGCGAAAGUGACGGUACCUUCAGAAGCAGCGCCGGCUAACUACGUGCCGGCAGCCGCGGUAAUACGUAGGGCCCAAGCGUUAUCCGGAAUUAUUGGGCGUAAAGAGCGCGUAGGCGGUUUUUCGCGUCUGACGUGAAAGUCCGGGGCUCAACUCCGGAUCUGCGGUGGGUACGGGCAGACUAGAGUGAUGUAGGGGAGACUGGAAUGCCUGGUGUAGCGGUGAAAUGCGCAGAUAUCAGGAGGAACACCGAUGGCGAAGGCAGGUCUCUGGGCAUUAACUGACGCUGAGGAGCGAAAGCAUGGGGAGCGAAC